UUUGAAAAAAGAAUUUCUAGUAAUCUUAGUAAGCAUGCAACUCUUACAUUUAUCAAUAUUUUCAUUAAAGUAUGGAAUUAAGUCUAAUUUAACCAUAUCAUGCAUUCUUUUAAAAUUUACAAGCCCUAAAUGAUUAUGCCAUAAAUAAGAAGAAUCAACAAAUAAGCACAAGAAACUUUAUUUGUAUCAAUAUUAAGCUUGAACAUAUCCUUAUAUAUAUAACCUUUUCCCACAA
rnacentral:lncRNA from 1 species